rnacentral:tRNA from 1 species
GCGGGCCAGCAUGCGAAAUAGUCAUUCGGCAAUUGUCAGGCUCAUAACCUGAAGGUCAUAGGUUCAAAUCCUAUCCCCGCA